UACGGGGGGGGCAAGCGUUGUUCGGAAUUACUGGGCGUAAAGAGCUCGUAGGCGGCUCGUCGCGUCGACCGUGAAAACCCGCGGCUUAACUGCGGGCUUGCGGUUGAUACGGGCGGGCUAGAGUUCGGUAGGGGAGACUGGAAUUCCUGGUGUAGCGGUGAAAUGCGCAGAUAUCAGGAGGAACACCGAUGGCGAAGGCAGGUCUCUGGGCCACUACUGACGCUGAGAAGCGAAAGCAUGGGGAGCGAACAGG
rnacentral:rRNA from 1 species